UUCGACUUUGUCGACGACAUCGAUGGCGUCCAGGAAAAGAACAUGUUGAAGAAAAAUCCAGAAUUCUUCAAAGCUCGUCAGGCCGGUCCCAGAUUUGCUGACAUUGGUUCAUUUGAACACGAGUACGGCACACGCUGGAAGCAACUGCACGAAUUGUACAAACAAAAGAAUGAGGCACUCAAACGCGAGAUGCUAAUGGAGGAGGAGAAGCUUGAGGCUCAGAUGGAGUUUGCUCGCUAUGAACAUGAGACUGAAAUAAUAUAUAUCAUUAAAAACAGCAUUUAAAAACAGCAUUGUUUCUUGUACAUCGUUUGAACUUCCACAAGUUUGAAUUGUGAGAGAUGACUAAAUAUGCAAAUUGAUACAACAUGAUAUUCCAGGUUCAUAUUAAGGAGAGGCAACUUAUCUAGGAUUUAUUUAUCGUCCAGUAGGAUUUAUUUUUGUUUCUUUGAGUAUUUAUGAUAGUCUUUGUAAACCUUCAUGAAAAAAACGUACUUAAGUACACUAACUAAUAUAUGUAACAGUGGAAAUUCACCUAGUUUUCAGUUCUCCGCAAGUUUUCAAAACAGCUGCUGUACGAAGUUUGGAUACUCACGGGCUACUACUUUGGCUUGGCUUCAUACAAAACGAAAUAAGAGGUCAGCUUGUGUCUCAAAUUAAUUAUUCCAGAGAAUUCAAAAGCAUCGCCGGAACUGACCACAAUCGAUAUUUGAGACAAGUUGGACAUAUUGUCUCGAUAUACCUUGUCUAUUUUGUUGUCUACCCUGAUGACACGUGACAGGGACCUAAUGACACUUUACCGAACAAUGGCAAACGCAAGGUUUCUUGGUUGCCGGGCGUCAUUGCACAAUUCUUUUUAAUCUCAACCAUCGCGGGAAGAAGAUCUUGGAAAGCCGGUGGAUACUCCAGUAAUAGGAAGCCAGUAGACACUCAAGUAACAACUCUGCUAUAAAAAAAAAGCUGUCGACAAUAAGCAGCAAGUAGUCGACUUGUAGAAAUAAGUCGACUCUGGGACGAGAAUACUGUGUCAUCUUACUACUAGCUUGCUUGCUGCAACAGACUUCUUUGCUUUUGUAACUAUAGGUUGCUGAUGAACCACAAUUAAGGAAUGGCAACUCAAACGACAGGAUAUCUGCUGUGAGGGAUCAAAGACUUUUCUCGAAAGGCCUAUUUAUUAAAUGGAAUACGCUUUGAGACUUCAAGUGGCUCCGCCGGCGACUUGAUGGUAAACUAAGUCCACGCGGUUGUCAACUCUCUCAUUUAUGUGAUAGACAGCAACGCAAGAGGACCUUCAGGACCAAGGAAAAGGACCCAGGGAAGUACCCAAUAAUAAUAAGUGUGUUAUGAAAUCGCGAGCAAAAUUAAAUAGAUCAUUGUCGGGUUCUCAUUCAUUCAUUCGCGUUUGCUUGCAUUGAAUUUUAAUUUUGCGCAAUUUCUUUUAACAAUUUGUAACGGC